UACAGAGGUCCCAAGCGUUGUUCGGAUUCACUGGGCGUAAAGGGUGCGUAGGUGGCAGGGUAAGUUUGGUGUGAAAUCUCCCGGCUCAACUGGGAGGGUGCGCCGAAUACUGAAUGACUUCGAGUGCGGGAGAGGAGAGUGGAAUUCCUGGUGUAGCGGUGAAAUGCGUAGAUAUCAGGAGGAACACCGGUGGUGUAGACGGCUCUCUGGACCGUAACUGACGCUGAGACACGAAAGCGUGGGUAGCAAACAGG
rnacentral:rRNA from 1 species